rnacentral:rRNA from 1 species
GACGAACGCUGGCGGCGUGCUUAACACAUGCAAGUCGAACGAGUGGCGAACGGGUGAGUAACACGUGAGUAACCUGCCCUUUCUUUGGGAUAACGGUCGGAAACGGCUGCUAAUACUGGAUAGUGGGGGAUGGGCUCGCGGCCUAUCAGCUUGUUGGGGGGGUGAUGGCCUACAAAGGCGUUGACGGGUAGCCGGCCUGAGAGGGUGAACGGCCACAUUGGAACGUAGACACGGUCCAUACUCCUACGGGAGGCAGCAGUGGGGAAUAUUGGACAAUGGGCGAAAGCCUGAUCCAGCCAUGCCGCGUGUGUGAAGAAGGUCUUCGGAUUGUAAAGCACUUUAAGUUGGGAGGCGUUACCAACAGAAUAAGCACCGGCUAACUACGUGCCAGCAGCCGCGGUAAUAC